AAAGUAAAGAGCACCAACAUAAAGAAGAAUUUACACCAACAAAUGGAUAAAACAGCCAGUCAACAUCAAAUGGCAGUAACCCUAAAUUUAAAUUGACUGAAUUCCCAAUCAAAAAACACAGCCAAAACCCAAUGUCAUGUUACAUCCAGAACUGUUUCACAUGCAAGGAUACACAAAGACUCAAAACAAAGGGUUGGAGAAAGAUUUACCAACCAAAUGGAGAGCAAAAAUAAAUAAUAAAUAAAUAAAAAGCAGGAGUUGCAAUUCUUGUAUCGGAUAAAAUAGAUUUUAAAGCAACAAAGAUAUAGUGGUAAAAGGAUCAAUGCAACAACAAGAGCUAACGAUCCUAACACCCAGAUACAUAAAGACUUAGACUCAAUGAGACAGAAAAUUAAUAAGGAUAUCAAGGACUCGAACUCAGAUCCGGAACAAGUAAACUUAAUCAAUAUUCAUAGAGCUCUCCACUUCAAAUACACAAAAUAUACAUUCUUGUCAAUACCACAUCACACCUACCCAUUAGUUUAAAUAAAACAUUGAUUGGCCAUUAUUAAUACCCAAUUUUUUUCAAAAUAAAGCAAUAUUUCCAUUUACUCUCCCUCUUUCUCUUCCUCUUUCUUCCUCUCCUUUACUUAUUAUUUUUUUUCUUUCCUUCUCUCAAAAAAAAAGAAAUCAACUUGUAAACCUCUAGAUCCAGGUCGGCAAUGUCUCUUUCAUUGCUUGAUUUCCUUUCUUCCCUUCCCUCCCUCCCUCCCUCCCUCCCUCCCCGCUUCCUCCCUUCCUUCCUUCCUUCAUCCCUUCCUUCCUCCCUACCGUCCUUCUUCCCUUCCUUCCUGCCUUCCUCCCCCCGCCCCAAAAAAAAAAAAAAAAGUAGAGCUGCUUGAUUUGAAGCUGGGCGGGGAGGCCUGGAGCCCACACUGCUCCUACCUCCACCCCCUCAUUGAUUGGGGAAGCCUCUGUAAACAUGCGUUUUAAGCACCACCUGGCUUGUCCUGUCAUUUCCUCUUCUCUUUAUCUCCAGUUCCCAGAAAAGGAAAAUUUCCGAGCUGGCUUUUUAGAGCUAUUGCUGAUAAGAGCUGACCAUGAAAACCUUCCAAAAAUUGACAUCUGGGCCCAAAAGUUUAUCUUCCCCUUUGUUUAUUUUUCUUUAUCUGUCCAUGUGCCUUAGCUGGAAAUGGGGCUUGCAGCUCCUGCCCAGGACUUACUCCGCUCUUCACUUCUGGAAGGGGCACUGGUUUGGGAGCAGCUGCUCUAGACAAACAGUGAGGCUGCCACUAGCAUGAUGAGCCCUGGUCUCUAGGGGACACAGGGAGAGGCUCCUGGUUUCUCCCCUCCUGUGGUCUCUCCAAGGUCCCUGACCUGUUGGAUUCCGUGGACUCUCGUCUGUCAUUAGUGGGCAGUGAUUACUUAGAGAAAAACCAUUUGCACAAACCAGUUAAUGCCCAGACUCAGCCCGGGUGCUGCUACCCAGCUGACUCUAUCCUCUUAAAGAGCCACACUGACCAUUUUCUCCUGCCGUCAAGGGUAGAGGUGUUGGGGAAUGUGUUCCUGCCUUGAGAGCAAACCACUUAAGGUACAAACCUGACUUUCUCACUCUCUUGCCCAUAGAUGGCGCCCCAUCACCUGUAGCGCUCCCAUUCCAGUGGAUUUUGAUUGAGCCAGGAGUCCGCUCAGGAAUUCCUAUUUUUAACAAGCUUCUAGGUGACCAGCUGUCCCAGUGUACCUGGGACUGAGGUGUUUUCCAGCACUUGGAGCUUUCAGUGCUAAAACUAGAGAAGUCCUGGGCCAAAUUGAAUGAGUUCGUCAGCCUGUUUCUGGAUAAUUGUGAUUUUCAGCAGGAGUCUGCAGACUACAGCCCACAGGCCAAUCCAGCUCUCCACCUGUUUUUAUAAACAAAGUUUUAUCGGAAUAUAGUCAUGCUCACUGAUUCACAUAUUGACUAUGGUUACUUUCUUGCUAUAGUAGUAGAGUUGAGUAGUUGCAACAGAGAGGCUAUGACUCAAGAAACCUAAAAUAUGUAUUAUUUGCCCCUUUGCAGAAAAUAUUUGCAGACUCCAACAAUUUAAUCCCUUUAUCGCGAGUUGGCUGCCUCCCUCUCCGGCCCAAUCUCCACAAUUGCCUUCUUCACUCUGAUGGCACGAGGCAUAGUCAUGUAUUUAUUGUUCCAGAAAAGAGCCAAAUGCUCUUCCUUAUACAUGUUUCUUUUUCCACAUGCUGUUCCCUCUACCCGGAAUGCCCUCCUCGCCACUGCGCUUGACUAAUUCCUUCUGGACCACAAGUCAGGCAGACCCUUCUCCAGGAGUUCUGCCCUGUCUCUGUCCCCAGCCCACAGCCAGGUCCGCUUGCAAGUGAAGCCUCCUGCAAACCUCUCAAUCGUGGCACUCCCCACACUGUUCCAGCGUUGCUUGCCGAGUAGUUUCUUUAUGAGAGCCUUCAGAAAAAACACUGUGGAAUAUUCACUUUAUGACUCCGUUCCUUAGCUUGACUCUUAGCAUGGAAGAAACUCAGGAAAUAUUUGCUGAAUUGUGAAUAUAUAAAAUGGGAAUGAGAAUUUUCCUAAGGUACUUAUCUGUUUGUGUAUUUUAGCUAUAAACUUAGGUUGUGGCUCCUGCCCAGAACUCACACCCUCUUCUCUUCUGGAAGGGGCACUGGUUUGAGUGUGGCUUCUCUAGACAGUGAGGUCCCCCUCAGCCUGGUGGGCCCUGGUCUUGCAUGUGGAUAAUAUAAUAUUCCCUCCAGUGUGGAAAUAUAUGGUAGCUAUUGACUGGGAGUGGUGGCUUUGGGAGUAUAUUUUUCUGGUCACAAUAAGAGUUGGAAAACUGGGAGUUGGGGAUUUUUUUUUUUUCUGAGAAUAACUUUUGCUUUCUUAGAAAACUAAAG
ensembl:lncRNA